CCAGAUGUGAUGUCCAGAAGUUUAAGAAAAGUGGAGGAACAUCUGCAAAAAGACAGGGAGAGAUACUGGAAGAAAAAAAGAGACGGGAGAAGUGAAAUCUAUCUCUGAGCUUACAAAGCGAGAACAAAGAAACAAGAGAUGGCAAUGAAAAUGUAACCAACGCAAUAGAAGACAGACUUUAAAGAGAACAGUUGCAAUGGAUACCUACCUAUCAGGCAACACACCACCUCAGUCACCAGAUGAUUUGCAGCCAGAAUACGAGGCUAACAUACCUGCCCCUAACUUACCUGCCCCUGAUAAACACCCUGAUACCCCUUCCUCAUCGUCUGCAACAUGAAUGAGAAGUCGAAUACUUGCUGGAAGGAAAAAGGUUGGAAGAGGUCGCUCAAAAGCAUACAGAGAUCUUAGUAUGAAAAAUGUCAAUCUUGAUAAUCCUUUACGGAAAGCUGAGAAAUACAAAAAAAGGUAUCAUCGACUGAUGAACAAAAUGAAGAGACAAGAUUCCCCAAAGACAAAGACAAAACAGCAAAUGAAGGGAACUCCGAAGAACUUGAGAAGGAUUUUAUUGUUUCAAAAUGCCAUCAUUGCAGAGUUAAAACAAAAGUAUUAAAAAAAAUGUGCAGCACCAAAGACAAACAAGUGGCUUCAAAAAUGCUCAAAGGCAACAUCCUGAGAAAGUAUGGCCUGGUCAAAGCCGCAAACAGAGAAUUUGGAUUUUCAGCAAAAGCAAUGAGGGCAAAUGAAAACAGGCCAUCAAGUCUUCAAUACUCCAGGAAAAAUCAGUGUAACAGAAUUAGCACUGCCACAGAAGAGAAAAUCACUAGAUUCUAUGAACGUGAUGACAACAGCAGAGCAACAACAGGGAAAAAGGACACACUAACGAGGAACAAGAAGAAAAAGCAGAAGCGCUUCUUGAAUGCCACAAUUCAGAUCCUUUAUCAGAAGUUUAAGAGGGAAUAUUCAGAAAUUCAAAUUUCCUACUGUGAAUUCUGCAAAAUAUGUCCUUUUUGGGUUGUCAAGCCAACAGUCCAGGAUAGGGCCACAUGCCUCUGCAAAACCCACGCCAACCUCCAGUUCAUGGAGUACAAACUACAGUAUCACAAAGUGAUCAUCUGCAGCAACACGGAGAAAGUUGUUGAGUCUUUGUGCUGUGAGAACCUGGAGAAAGAGUGCAUGUAUAGAGAGUGCUUCCUUUGCCAAGCAAAAUAGCUUAAAACGUCUGACUUUGAUGCUGGUGAGCAGACAUGGUGGUUUGAGUGGAAAAACAAAACUGAAGAGAGAGAGAAGAAAAACAAAGAGGGAAACAUGGAGAAGUUCACUGUCCAUUUGACAGUAAAAGAAAAGGUAUGUGGCACACUGCAGAUUCUACUGGAGGACUUCUCCAAAGGAUUGAAAGAGAAGUUGGGGAAACACGUGUACAACAUUCGACACCAAUACUCAACUGAGAGAAUUAAGAGAAUCUGGGGAAAGAGGAGAUCAUUGUGCAUAUUGACUUUGCAGAGAACUACCUGUGUAAAUACACCAGUGAAAUCCAGGCAGUUCACUUUGGUGAUUCUCACAAGCAGGUGACCCUCCACACCUGUGUUGGAUAUACCACAAAUGAUACAGUUUCACUUUGCUCACUGAGCUCUUCUAUGUUACAUGACCCCUCUGCUAUCUGGGCCCAUCUCUCAAAAACAAAUCAAUCAAAUCAAAUUUAUUUUUAUAUAGCCCUUCGUACAUCAGCUGAUAUUCUCAAAGUGCUGUACAGAAACCCAGCCUAAAACCCCAAACAGCAAGCAAAGCAUGUGAAAGAAGCACGG
rnacentral:lncRNA from 1 species